rfam:Bacillus endophyticus strain Hbe603, complete genome.
CCCGUGCUACAACCGCGCAGAACAGGUUUUAAAGUCCAUUGUGACACCUGGGAUGGCGAGUCUGAGUCUUACA